GGCAGCAGCUAAGAAUAUUCCGCAAUGGACGAAAGUCUGACGGAGCGACGCCGCGUGGAUGAUGAAGGCCGGAAGGUUGUAAAAUCCUUUUAUGACUGAGGAAUAAGCAGGGUGAGAGAAACGCUCUGUGGUGACUGUAGGUCAUGAAUAAGCAACGGCUAAUUACGUGCCAGCAGCCGCGGUAACACGUAAGUUGCGAGCGUUGUUCGGAAUUAUUGGGCGUAAAGGGCAUGUAGGCGGUUCUGCAAGUCUGGUGUGAAAUGCCGGGGCUCAACCCCGGAACUGCGUUGGAAACUGCAUAACUUGAGUCGCUGAGGGGCAGCCAGAAUUCCAGGUGUAGGGGUGAAAUCUGUAGAUAUCUGGAAGAAUACCAAUGGCGAAGGCAGGCUGCCAGCAGAUGACUGACGCUGAGGUGCGAAGGUGCGGGGAGCAAACAGGAUUAGAUACCCUGGUAGUCCGCACAGUCAACUAUGUACACUGGGUGUCCGUUCAUGAGAAUGGGUGCCGAAGCAAACGCGAUAAGUGUACCGCCUGGGGAGUAUGCCCGCAAGGGUGAAACUCAAAGGAAUUGACGG
rnacentral:rRNA from 1 species